rnacentral:rRNA from 1 species
CCCCUAGUAACUGCGAGUGAAGCGGGAAAAGCUCAAAUUUAAAAUCUGGCGGUCUUCGGCCGUCCGAGUUGUAGUCUGGAGAAGUGCUUUCCGCGCUGGACCGUGUACAAGUCUCUUGGAACAGAGCGUCAUAGAGGGUGAGAAUCCCGUCUUUGACACGGACUACCAGUGCUUUGUGAUGCGCUCUCAAAGAGUCGAGUUGUUUGGGAAUGCAGCUCAAAAUGGGUGGUAAAUUCCAUCUAAAGCUAAAUAUUGGCGAGAGACCGAUAGCGAACAAGUACCGUGAGGGAAAGAUGAAAAGCACUUUGGAAAGAGAGUUAAACAGUACGUGAAAUUGCUGAAAGGGAAACGAUUGAAGUCAGUCGCGUUAGCCAGGACUCAGCCUUGUUUUUACUUGGUGCAUUUUCUGGUUGACGGGCCAGCAUCGAUUUUGACCGCCGGAAAAAGAUUGGGGGAAUGUGGCACCUUCGGGUGUGUUAUAGCCCUCAGUCACAUACGGCGAUUGGGAUCGAGGACCGCAGCACGCCUUUAUGGCCGGGGUUCGCCCACGUUCGUGCUUAGGAUGCUGGCGUAAUGGCUUUAAACGACCCGUCUUGAAACACGGACCAAGGAGUCUAACAUGCCUGCGAGUGUUUGGGUGGAAAACCCGAGCGCGUAAUGAAAGUGAAAGUUGAGAUCCCUGUCGCGGGGAGCAUCGACGCCCGGACUUGAACUUCGGUGAUAGAUCUGCGGUAGAGCAUGUAUGUUGGGACCCGAAAGAUGGUGAACUAUGCCUGAAUAGGGUGAAGCCAGAGGAAACUCUGGUGGAGGCUCGUAGCGAUUCUGACGUGCAAAUCGAUCGUCAAAUUUGGGUAUAGGGGCGAAAGACUAAUCGAACCAUC